CCCAUGCAUCCCUCUUUCCUUCUCUCUAUAUAUUCGAGUCCAUCUAUUUGACCAGACACAACAGAAUCCAGAUUUCGUCUUCUUCCUUCUGCCUCAAGAAAAUGAAACUAGUGGCGUUUCUUUUGAUUUCUGUGAUGGUAUGUUCAUGCAUGGCAGCUGCUGCUCCUCGCAGAGCUCUGGUUAGCAGCACUAAAAUACACAACGCGGAACAACAUGUUGAAGAGCUGCAGGGAAUUGCAGUAGGGAGAUUGAGUAGUGACAAUCAUCAUAACAUACCUAGACAGUACUACGGUCAGUGGGGUAGCAGUUCUAAUGGAGGCGAUGGUGGUGACACUCCUAAUGACAUAAAAUGGAAGUGACUGAUAAUUAUAUAUAAUAUUUAUGUUGCAUGAUCAUAAAAUUUAUGAUGCAUGUUUUGUAUUGUAAUUGUAUUUUCUACAAGGAUCCUAUAAAUAUUAUGUAAUUGUAUUUUCUAUAAGGAUCAUAUAAAUAUUAUGCUAUCCCUUAAUUCAUGAA